GUAGGGGGCAAGCGUUAUCCGGAAUUACUGGGUGUAAAGGGAGAGUAGGCGGCAUGGUAAGUUAGAUGUGAAAGCCCGAGGCUUAACCUCGGGAUUGCAUUUAAGACUAUCAAGCUAGAGUACAGGAGAGGUAAGUGGAAUUCCUAGUGUAGCGGUGAAAUGCGUAGAUAUUAGGAAGAACACCAGUGGCGAAGGCGACUUACUGGACUGAAACUGACGCUGAGGCUCGAAAGCGUGGGGAGCGAACAGGAUUAGAUACCCUGGUAGUCCACGCCGUAAACGAUGAGUGCUAGGUGUCGGGGGGGGAACCCCUCGGUGCCGCAGCUAACGCAAUAAGCACUCCACCUGGGGAGUACGAUCGCAAGAUUG
rnacentral:rRNA from 1 species